rnacentral:rRNA from 1 species
AACGAACGCUGGCGGCAUGCCUAACACAUGCAAGUCGAACGCGACCUUCGGGGCUCGUGGCUCACGUGUGCGUCACGCGUGGGAGCCUGCCUUUAUUUUCGGAAUAUCUCCCCGACAGGGGUUCUAAUACCGUAUAAUCUCUUCGGACCAAAGAUUUAUCGCCUUUGUCUGGGCCCGCUUUGUUUUAUCUAGUUGGGAGUGUAAAAGCCUACCAACGCCACGCUCCAUAGCUGGUCUGAGAGGAGGCGCAGCCACACUGGGAAUGAGACACGGCCCAGAACCCUAAGGGAGGGAGGAAUGGGGAAUAUUGGACAAUGGGGGAAAGGCUGAACCAGCAAUGCCGGGGGAGGGAUGAAGGGCUUAAGGUUGUAAAGCUCCUUUACCCGGGAUGAUAAUGAAAGUACCGGGAGAAUAAGCCCCGGCUAACUCCGUG